rnacentral:lncRNA from 1 species
AGGUGCUAGAAAAUAUGUAGAACGGGCAUUUGGAGUACUUCAAGCUCGUUUCAGUAUAGUGUGUGGACCAGCCAGGUUUUGGGAUGAAAACACCUUAUCUAAUAUAAUGAAAAGUAUGCAUCAUAAUACAUAAUAUGAUUGUUGAGGAUGAAAAAGAAGGUGCAAGUAAUGUGAAUUUUGACCAUGCAACUCCAGAUGUUAUUCCGUCACACGAGCACACAAAUGAGUUUGUUAAAUUUAUUCAAAGUCAUCACCAGAUUCGUGAUAGGGGUACUCAUUCCCAACUCCAACGUGGUCUUGUUGAGCAUCUUUGGAAUUUGCACAGUCAAGAAGAUUGAUAGUUGUAUUUGUAAUAUUUCAAUUUGUGGCAAUAUUUCUAUUUGUAGUGUUUCAAUUUAUUUCUAUUUAUAAUGUUUCAGUUUAUCUCAA